rnacentral:rRNA from 1 species
CCUACGGGAGGCAGCAGUGGGGAAUAUUGGGCAAUGGGCGCAAGCCUGACCCAGCAACGCCGCGUGAAGGAAGAAGGCUUUCGGGUUGUUAACUUCUUUUCUCAGGGACGAAGAAAGUGACGGUACCUGAGGAAUAAGCCACGGUUAACUAAGUGCCAGAAGCCGCGGGAAUACGGAGGUGGCAAGCGUUAUGCGGAUUUAUUGGGUGUAAGGGGUGUGUAGGGGGGAGCGCAAGGCAGGUGUGAAAACUCAGGGCUCAACCCUGAGCCUGCAUUUGAAACUGUGUUUCUUGAGUGCUGGAGAGGCAAGCGGAAUGCCGUGUGUAGCGGUGAAAUGCGUAGAUAUACGGAGGAACACCAGUGGCGAAGGCAGAUUGCUGGACAGUAACUGACGCUGAGGCGCGAAAGCGUGGGGAGCAAACAGGAUUAGAUACCCGUGUAGUC